rnacentral:ncRNA from 2 species
UAUCGAGGAGCGCUGCGACGGGCUGGAUUUAUACCGGCCCGCCAGGCUCGGUUCAAAACCGCGCUCACCUGUA